rnacentral:tRNA from 2 species
GCCGCCUUAGCUCAGUGGUAGAGCAAUCGCUUCGUAAGCGAUGGGUCGACGGUUCAAAUCCGUCAGGCGGCU